rnacentral:rRNA from 1 species
AAUGAACGCUGGCGGCAUGCCUUACACAUGCAAGUCGAACGGCAGCAUGACCUAGCUUGCUAGGUUGAUGGCGAGUGGCGCACGGGUGAGUAAUGCAUCGGAACGUGCCUUUUAGUGGGGGAUAACGUAGCGAAAGUUACGCUAAUACCGCAUAUCCUCUGAGGAGGAAAGCAGGGGGCCUUCGGGCCUUGCGCUAGAAGAGCGGCCGAUGUCGGAUUAGCUAGUUGGUGAGGUAAAGGCUCACCAAGGCAACGAUCCGUAGCGGGUCUGAGAGGAUGAUCCGCCACACUGGGACUGAGACACGGCCCAGACUCCUACGGGAGGCAGCAGUGGGGAAUUUUGGACAAUGGGCGCAAGCCUGAUCCAGCCAUGCCGCGUGAGUGAAGAAGGCCUUCGGGUUGUAAAGCUCUUUCGGCUGGGAAGAAAUCGCACUCUCUAAUACAGGGUGUGGAUGACGGUACCAGCAUAAGAAGCACCGGCUAACUACGUG